AAUCGAAUGUGAGAACUCAAAGCCAUUUUAAAUUUGUAGAAAAAUUAAUGAAAUAUAGUUUUUGGAAAAAUAAUAUUGAACCCAGCCAUACAUAUCUAAGGAGGAAAACAUCGAAAUGUCCAUUAGAAGUUGAGUGCAUGAUAAAAUAAGCGCAUGACUUAGUCGAAAGCAACGUAUGAAAAUUAAAUUUUUAUUAUGUAUUGAGGUGUAAAUUGUUACUAUGUUCUUUCCUAUUCCCGUGGUUCUCAAAGAGGACUGGCGUCGGAUUCGUCACGUUCGUGGAUUGCAGUUAUGCUCUGUUCUUUAACAAAUUGAUAAGAAAGAAAGUUACUUUGGCAAGCAUCUUUGAAGAAAUGGCACACAGGAGCUAAAAUGUGCUAGGCGAUUAACCCAGCUGGGGAUUUCUUGGCCACAAAGAAUCUGUAAAUUAAAUGGUCACACCUGCAUUUAAUAAUGAUUUCAAAUAUUGUACAAACCUGAGUA